UACGGAGGGUGCAAACGUUGCUCGGAAUCAUUGGGCGUAAAGCGCACGUAGGCGGUCCGGUAAGUCGGAUGUGAAAGCCCUCGGCUCAACCGAGGAAGUGCAUUCGAAACUGCCGGACUUGAGUACGGGAGAGGGAUGCGGAAUUCCAGGUGUAGAAGUGAAAUUCGUAGAUAUCGGGAGGAACACCAGUGGCGAAGGCGGCAUCCUGGACCGAUACUGACGCUGAGGUGAGAAAGCGUGGGGAGCAAACAGG
rnacentral:rRNA from 1 species